CAUGUGCCUAGAAUCUGCUCAUAUCUUAGUAUAUAUUUAUAUGUAAUAUAUUGUUCCUUCUUUAUAUUCAGACACAGAGAAUGCUUCUCACUCUCAGAUGAAAUUUUUUUACUGUGUUGCACUUGCAGCAAGCGAAAUUACUGCCAUUAUCGGAAUGUGGGGCGUUGUGUUAUGCUACAGAGUUUUGAAGAAUAAACGGAAUCAAAACAGGCAAGAAUACUGAGAUCACAGGAGUCAUUACUGACACCAAACACCGAAGAGCUCAGCGAGUGGAUUAAAUGGCAAGCUCACCCGGUGUGAUAUACUGAGAGAGAAACUCAAGAUAGAGGACUUAAGGACAAAACAGCGCAUUUUACUGUAAAAUUAGUGAACUUGUUAGAAAAAAAAUCUUUUUAAUUUUUGCAAUUUCUAACACUUCUGGAUCUGCCCAGUCUUACCAGUUAUGCUUUAUUUAUUGCACUGGAAGAGUAAACCAUUAACCAGUGACUUUAAAAAUUGCUAACUUUUAAUGAAGACUGGACCACAUCCCACCAAAUGCGAUGUUCAUAGGCCUAAUUAAAAAAUACACCCUUAAUUAAUUGAAACAAGCUGUCCUGUCUAUGUGCAGACAGACUGACCACAGUUAAGAUGGACAUCACAGUCACAUUAAUCAUACUAAUCGCCUUGGGUCCGGAUUUUAAAUUGUUUGGGAAUAACCCAGGUUGGGGUGCCAAUCCAUCACAGGGCACACGUACCAUUCAGGCCUAUGGGGAAUUUGGCAACUCCAGUUAACCUCAGCAUGUGUUUGGACUGUGGCAGGGAAACCAUAGAACCCAGAGGAAACCCCACAAUGAUAAGGGGGCAGGGGGCACCCGAACCGCAGAUCCUUCACUCAAAACAUAUAUGAAUGGCUGAAGCACAGUCAUACCACCCAGCUUUAACCCUACCCAAGCAGGCCUGCCAGUCUCUGGGCACAGUGUCCAUCCACUCUGCAUUCUCUCUGCCCCGUCGGCUGUGCAAACCAGCAGGUCUCAGGCCACUGCAUGCAUGUCUGUGUGACAACCUGUUUCAAUUAAUUUGCACAAGGGUGAAUGUUAAGGUAUAAUCAAAGCUUUGCUCGCUUCUUUAUAUUAUAAUAAAAAUAUUUUGAUGCCAGCUAUUCAUCUUGUUUUCUGUGCAAACAAGCCUCUAUAUAUGCCUGGUGGUUUGUGGGAAAAGAGCUACAAUUCCAGGUUUCUACCUU